rnacentral:rRNA from 1 species
AUUGAACGCUGGCGGCAGGCCUAACACAUGCAAGUCGAGCGGAUGAAGGGAGCUUGCUCCUGGAUUCAGCGGCGGACGGGUGAGUAAUGCCUGGGAAUCUGCCUGGUAGUGGGGGAUAGCGUCCGGAAACGGGCGCUAAUACCGCAUACGUCCUGAGGGAGAAAGUGGGGGAUCUUCGGACCGCACGCUAUCAGAUGAGCCUAGGUCGGAUUAGCUAGUUGGUGGGGUAAAGGCCUACCAAGGCGAGGAUCCGUAACUGGUCUGAGAGGAUGAGCAGUCACCCUGGAACUUGGACACGGUCCAGACUCCUACGGGAGGCACCAGUGGGGAACAUUGGACAACGGGCGAAAGCCUGAUCCAGCCAUGCCGCGUGUGUGAAGAAGGUCUUCGGAUUGUAAAGCACUUUAAGUUGGGGGGAAGGGCAGUAAGUUAAUACCUUGCUGUUUUGACGUUACCAACAGAAUAAGCACCGGCUAACUUCGUG